UGUUUUGAAUUAGACCUCUAGGGGGCGCUGAGGUGGAGCUGAUUGUUCAGUAGCAGCAGGCUGUGUGUGGUGGUGCAGUCACUAGCUGAUGGAGCUGCAAUUCAUACUUACCUGGCAGGGGAGAUACCAUGAUCAAGAAGGUGGUUCACCCAGGGCGAGGCUCAGCCAUUGCACUCCGGCUGUGCUGACCCCUGCGAAUUCCCCAAAUGUGGGAAUCUCGACUGCAUAAUUUCUGGUAGUGGGGGACUGCGUUCGCGCUCUCCCCUGAUA